rnacentral:rRNA from 1 species
GGCCUAACACAUGCAAGUCGAACGAAGGCUUCGGCCUUAGUGGCGCACGGGUGCGUAACGCGUGGGAAUCUGCCCCUUGGUUCGGAAUAACAGUUGGAAACGACUGCUAAUACCGGAUGAUGACGUAAGUCCAAAGAUUUAUCGCCGAGGGAUGAGCCCGCGUAGGAUUAGCUAGUUGGUGUGGUAAAGGCGCACCAAGGCGACGAUCCUUAGCUGGUCUGAGAGGAUGAUCAGCCACACUGGGACUGAGACACGGCCCAGACUCCUACGGGAGGCAGCAGUGGGGAAUAUUGGACAAUGGGCGAAAGCCUGAUCCAGCAAUGCCGCGUGAGUGAUGAAGGCCUUAGGGUUGUAAAGCUCUUUUACCCGGGAUGAUAAUGACAGUACCGGGAGAAUAAGCUCCGGCUAACUCCGUGCCAGCAGCCGCGGUAAU